rnacentral:snRNA from 1 species
CAUGCAGAGAAGAUUAAUGUGGCUUCUGUGCAAGGAUGACAUGCAAAUUCAUGAAGCAUUCCAUAUUUUU